rnacentral:lncRNA from 1 species
GCAGUCCCCUGGGCUUCCUGCAGGGACCUGGAUUCUUAGUAUUUCAGGCUGCUGUCCCUUUUUUUUUUUCAUUUCCUUUUUGUUUUUGUUGUUGAUGUGACCGCGUGUCCACAACCCUGGGAUUCCCUCGCCCUCAGAUUCCAGAAUCCAAUUUCUUGGAUUUCAGUGUUUUUAAGGUGGGAGGUCUCGCUAUGCUUCCCAGGCUGGACUCAAAUUCCUGGGCUCAAGUGAUUCCCCCGCCUCAGCCUCCUGAGUAGCUGGGACUACAGAUAUGGCAUGUCAGUCUGGUGGUCUAGCCAGAGGAAGACUCCUGGAGCUGGUGAACUGUGCAUGGAUAUGCAGUCACGGGCAGCCCACCUCCUACUCCUCACCCUCCCUGUGCCUGUGAGGGUCUGCACUCACCCUGGUCUUGCUUUAUUGCCCAGGCUGGAGUACAGUGGCGCAAUCACGGCUCACUGCAGCCUCAACCUCUUGGGCCCGAGCAAUCUUCCCACCUUGGUCUCCUAAAGUGCUGGGAUAACAGGCAUGAGCCACCACAUCUGGCUGAGGCCCCACAUUUUCAUUUUGUGCUGAGACUUGUAAAUUAGGUAGCUGGUCCUGGCUGUAGCAGAUGGUAUAGAUUCUUUUUCUGGCUCUGUUUUUGUGACAUCUCAACUUACUGGGCUCUUAUUAAAGGUGAUUUAGGUGACUUAUCAACUUUUCAUGAGUACAGAUGAAGAACUCUUCUAGGGCAGGGGUCCCCAACCCUUGGGCCACAGACCAGUACUGGCCUAUUAGGAGCCAGGCCGCACAGCAGGAGGUGAGUGGCAGGCAAGCAAAUCAAGCUUCAUCUGUAUUUACAGCCACUCCCCAUCACUAGCAUUAUUGCCUGAGCUUGGCCUCCUGUCAGAUCAGUGGCGACCUUGAUUGUCAUAGGAGCGUGAACCCUCUAGUGAACUGCGCAUGGCAGAGAUCUAGGUUGCACUCUCCUUGUGAGAAUCUAAUGCUUGAUGAUCUGUCACUGUCUCCCAUCACUCCGAGAUGGGAUCGCCUAGUUGCAAGAAAACAAGUUCAAGGCUCUCACUGAUUUUGCCUUAUGGUGAGUUGUAUAAUUAUUUCAUUAUAUAUUACAAAGUAAUAAUAAUAGAAAUAAAGUGCACAAUAAAUGUAAUGUACUUGAAUCAUCCCUAAACUAUCCCCUGCCGCCCUAGUCUGUGGAAAAAUGGUCUUUCAUGAAACUGGUCCCUGUUGCCUAAAAGGUUGGGACUGCUGCUCUAGAAGGUAUGGGAUUGGGAGGUGGGGGUCACACAGAUAGCCACUGACAACCUGAGAAUAGUGACAUGGGCCUGUAAAAACAGAUCAAUAGGUAUCUGUGGAAGGUAUUGAUGAAUACAUGAAUGAAUGAAUGAAACAACAAACUAAGAAAAAUGGCAUGGCAUGCAUGAAUGUGUGAUGGGCUCAAAAUAUGAUCCUCAUAGGGAUAUUUGCCUUAGAAAAAGGAGGCAAAGGCUAAGCUGGAAAAAUCUGUGGCAAUUGAGAGCCCUUGGGGGCUCUGGGUAUGGGUGGGAGGAAUCUAAAGUCUCUCUGUAGAGACUGGUCUUGGGCCAUCCAAUCUUCUCUGCCCGCUACAGCUAAGCCUUUUUCUGCCCACUACAGCUUCCCACAUGCUGCUUCAAUGUUGAUAUCUUGAAGAGGUUCCAGCCUGGCAUGGUGGCUCACACCUGUAAUCCCAGCACUCUGGGAGUUCAAGGUGGGAGGAUUGCUUGAGCCCAGGAGUUCAAGAACAGCCUAGGCAACCUAGUGAGACCACAUCUCUACAAAAAAUUUAAAAAUUAGCUCAACGUGGUGGUGUGUGUCCAUAGUCCCAGCUACUCAGGAGACUGAGAUAGGAGGAUCACUGGAGCCCACAGGCUACAGUGAGCAAUGAUUGUGCCACUGCACUCUAGCCUGGGUGACAGAGCAAGACAUUGUCGCCCAGAAAAAACAAAAAGAGAAAAUAGAAGAGGUUCUUACUGUACAAUAGGACUUUUUUUUUUCUUUUUUGGAGUCAGAGUCUUGCUUUGUCACCCAGGCUGGAGUGCAAUCGCACGAUCUCAGCUCACUGCAGCCUCCGCCUCCUGGGUUCAAGCGAUUCUUCUGCCUCAGCAUCCUGAGUAGUUGGGGUUACAGGCAUGGGCCAGCACGCCCGGCUAAUUUUUAUAUUUUUAGUAGAUGGGGUUUCACCAUAUUGGCCAGGCUGGUCUUGAACUCCUGAUCUCAAGUGAUCUACCUGCCUCGGCCUCCCAAAGUGAUAGGAUCACAGGCGUGAGCCACCUCACCCAGCCACAAUAAGAGCUUUUUAAUGAGAAGAAGACACAAGUCUUGAUUGAGAAUUUCUCUUCCUGAGAGGAAGUACCAGCAUGUUAUGGACCUUAGCUGAUUUGUCUUUAAAAAUCUCAAGCUGUAAUAAUUCCCAGUUGCUCAGUGCACAGUGAAUGAGGCUGAUAUUUAAACAGAACGCCUCAAAGGCACCCGCUGUGUCCACACUUUCUCCCUGCCUGUCCUAUGCCUCUCCAGGUGAUGUCCAUCUUCUCCUUGAAGCCCUCUCUGGCUGCUCCAGUCCCUGAGCUUUCCUUCCUGCACUCAUACAGCAUGAGGAAGGCUCCAUCUUUUUCUAGAUGUGCUAUUUUUUUUAGCAUUUGCUGUGUGCACUUUAGAGGCUCAUUGCCUCUUUGAGACCAAGGAUGGCACUGUCCCUUCUCUCUAGUUGCUCUGAGUGCCAAGCACAGCCCUGAACACCAAAUACUUUGACUCUUCUGUGGCUACUCAACCCUCCUGGCUGUUCCUUCAUCACCCUGGACCGGCCCCCACUCCAGGGUCUUUGCACUUGCUCUCCCUCUGCUUAGAAAGCCCUUCUCCCUGCAAUCUGCAGGGGCUUGAUUACUCUUCUCUUUCAGGCCUUUGCUCAAAUGUCACCUCAUCAAUGCACCCUUCUCUGACCAUCCUAUUGAAUAUUCCAAAUCUUUUUUUUUUUUUUUUUUUUUGAGACAGAGUCUUGCUCUUGUCGCCCAGGCUGGAGUGCAGUGGCACGAUCUUGGCUCACUGCAACCUCUGCCUCCUGGGUUCAAGUGAUUCUCAUACCUCAGCAUCCUCAGGAGCUGGGAUUACAGGCGCCCGCCAUCACACCCGGCUAAUUUUUGUAGUUUUAGUAGAGGCAGGGUUUUGCCAUGUUGGCCAGGCUAGUCUCAAACUCCUAACCUCACGUGAUCCACCCGCCUUGGCCUCCCAAAGUGCUGGGAUUACAGGUGUGAGCAGGCCAGGAACUAUUGUGCCAUGGAUAUUGUUGGUAGCCUAUCCAUCUUCUAUGUCCACAUCUGCAGGGGAAGGGGACCCUACCCUCAGCUCCUGGGGUGGUCCCUGGUUGGCACAGUCCAUUCUCCUGAGCACAGUCACAGUCUUCAGAGGGGCACCUGGUACCUGAGCUGUCCAAUCGGGGAGAUUCUUGGGACUCUCACCAGUAAUGUUGGUGUAGACUUGUUUCCUGUUCUUCCUGGAGACCUUGUUGGCCUGACUGAGCCAUCUGGCCACCAGAGUGAGGAUGUGGACAACAUAAAGCAGAGGGCAGAACCGAGGGAACCCCAGAUAAGGGGAGCCAGACCUGGAUUAAGGCAACUCUGAAAGGCAAGACUCUCUGGAUACUUUUUAAGGCACUUGGGGACUAAAAUAAUAGAGAGUCUAACAAAAAAAAUUUAAGAUGUCCAUUAUAUUGUUCAAAGUAUAAAGAAAUAUGGAAACUCCUUUGCUUACAAACUUCCAGCUUCCAAUUAAGCAGAGACCCCAAAGCUAUAGCCCAAAGCAAAAGUAUGUUGCCUUUAGUAGGGGGCACCUGUCGCCGACUCCCAGGAGUGUGGAGUUGGGAACUAGUUGGCAUUUUCAGUUUGUUCUAGAAGUCCAGGACUAUGUAUCUUGUCUUCUUAACCUGAAUGGGAUUCUCCCCAGUUCAGGGAACCAGCUGUGAGCUUUUUUUUUUUUUUUUUUUUGAGACAGGGUCUCACUCUGUUGCCCACGCUGGAGUGCAGUAGUACAAUCAUGGCUCACUGCAGCCUCGACCUUCUGGGCUCAAGCAAUCCUCCUGCCUCAGCCUCCCAAGUAGCUGGGACUACAGGCAUGUGCCAACACGUCCAGCUAAUUUUUGUGUUUUUUGUAGAGAUGGGGUUUCACCUUGUUGCUCAGUCUGGUCUCAGACUCCUGGACUCAAGUGAUCUGCCUGCCUCAGCCUCCAGAAUUGCAGGGAUUACAAGCGUGAGCCACCACACCUGAGUUCUCUCUUAUUGUAAUGAAAGUUUUCAGGGGAUCCACAUUUCAGCUCCCUGUACCCCUGUAAUCACAAGAGGGACCAAUGCUGUAAUGUCCUCUUAGCAAAUAGCCAAGAGCACACAGAUCUGACACACGUGGAAGGUAUUGUGAGGCUGUGUUCUGAAAAGGAAUAGUAAACUAGGAAAAGUUUCUCUUCAAACAAACAAACAAAAACCUGCCCUCUGACAAGCAGGUGCUUCUCUCAGGUUCUUGGCUUCCCAGUUUACUACCUGGCAUAUCUGUAGCAAAUGGUCGCUGAGAACCUGGAAGCAAUUCCUCAUUUGCAAGUCAAUGGCAGAUUUUUUUUUUUUCCUUUUUGAGACAGUCUCGCUUUGUUGCCCAGGCUAGAGUGUAUGGUGUGAUCUCAGCUCACUGCAACCUCAGCCUCCUGGGUUCAAGUGAUCCAUUCUCCUGCCUCAGCCUCCCGAGUAGCUGGGACUACAGGCAUGUGCCACCAUGCCCAGCUAAUUUUUGUAUUUUUAGUAGAAACGGGGUUUUGCCAUGUUGGCCAGGCUGCUCUCGAAUUCCUGACCUCAAGUGAUCCCCUCGCCUUGGCCUCCCAAAAUGCUGGGAUUACAGGCAUGAACCACCACACCGGCCAAUUUUUUGUGGUUUUCGUAGAGACAGGAUUUCAUUACGUUGGCCAAAUUGGUCUCAAACUCCUGUCCUCGUGAUCCACCCGCCUCGGCUCUCCAAAGUGCUGGGGGAUUACAGGCGUGAGCCAAUGCGCCAGGCCAAUAAUCACUGCUGGCAUUCUUGAGUGCCCAUAUGUGCCACACACUGUUUUUGCAAAAAUUAUAACUGAAGAAAUUAUGACAGUGAAAGAGAUCAGACCUAACCAACUCCAUCUUGCUUCUAACCUUUAAGCUGUCCUUGUACAUUCCUGGGCAUAGGCCGAACUAACUUUGGGAAGGAAUUCUGUUCAUGGUUUGACUCCGAAACAAAAUUGAUAACAGCCCUUUUCCAAGGCCCCCUUCUUGCCUGGGGACCAGUCUGCCUUUGCAGGGCUAACACAUUAGCUACAAGAUUAGAAAUUACGGGUUAGUGGUAAUGCAGCCUCUGGCUCCAAGAGUCUGAACCUCCUCAAAUUGCUCCUGGGGAUAACAUCACUAUUGUAAAACCUAAGAUCAGUGCUUGAGAUAUUUUGUAGACCCUGCACUUGAUGGAUCAGCUGACAUCACCCGGACUGGUUAUCUGGCUCAACCUGUUCUGCCAUCCCACCCAGGAACAGAAGACAGUAAGAAAAACUCACUUUGACCCCAUAUGAUUCCAUCUCCAACCUGAUCCAUCAGCACUCCCCACUUCCCGAGCCCCUACCCGCCAAAUUAUCUUUAAAAACUCUGCUCUCCGAAUGCUCCGGGAGACUGAUUUGAGUAAUAAUAAAACUCCAGUCUCCCUCUCCCGCACAGCCAGCUGUGUGUGAAUUACUCUUUCUCCACUGCAAUUCCCCUGUCUUGAUAAAUUAGCUCUGUCUAGGCAGCAGGCAAGGUGAACCCACUGGGCAGUUACAUAUUUACAUUUAUUUAUUUGUUUGUUGAGACAAGGUCUGUCACCCAGCCUGGGGUGCAGUGAUGUGAUCUCUGCUCACUGCAGCCUUGACUUCCCGGGCUCAAGCCAUCCUCCCACCUCAGCCUCCCAAGUAGCUGGGACUACAGGUGCACGACACCAUGCCUGGUUAAUUUUCAUAUUUUUUGUAGAGGUGGGGUUUCACCAUAUUGCCCAGGCUGGCCUCAAACUCCUGGACUCAAGAGAUCCCUCUGCCUCAGCCUCCCAAAGUGCUAGGAUUACAGGCAGGAGCCACCGUUCCCAGCCCUUGCCUUACAUUUAAUCUUCACUAUUAAUACACACAUGUUAUAAAUGAGAGCAUCAAAGUAUGGAGAGCAGAAGCAACUUGUCCAAGGUCAUACGCAACUAGAAAGGAGUGUAACUGAUAUUUAAACCCUAACAGUCUGGUUCCAGAAUCUGUGCUUUUAAAGUCAAGAUGAAAAGCAUGUCUGGGCCUUGACCCUUGGAACCCACCCCUACCACACAGGCUUUAGCUAGCAGAGGGGCAGCAAAGGAAGACAGCAAGAGGUGGCCUCUGGUCGUAGCUCUUUGUGGUUUGCCAAGGCUUUCUGGUUCACUGACUCAAAAGGGUUUGGGGCUUUACAGACUGGUAAGAUCUCCCAAACUGGGUAGUUGUACUUUAAUUUUGUUAAGUAAAAACAUUUUUAAAAAUCUGCUAACAUCACUAUCAUUUCAUAAAGUAAAUGUAAUUUCAAUGCAAAUAAACCCCAAGAAAGACACAAUCUCAGAGUACAGUCCAGGCCUUUAGGUUGAAUAAAUCUACCUUUGUAAACACCUCCUUUCGUUGUCCUGAUUUUCCUCAUCUCACCGUGGGCUGGUGAAAACGUCCUCAUGUGUAGCACCUGUUUAAGGACUGCCAUCCAGGAACCACUGUGGUACUUCAUACGAUCCCCAUAAACCCUCUGCAAGGUAGACAGGGAAAGUCUUGUUUACCCCACUCUACUAACGAAGAAAUCGAGGCUCAGAGAAGUCUUGUUUAAGGACACACAGCCUGAAAAAUGGCAGGGCCAGGUUACAAACCCAUGUUUUCAGACUGCAGGGGUCCAGUGCUCUUUCCUUCUAUACCUCAAAGCGUUCACAAAAUGCACUCACUGACCACUGGCUUGGUUGCUGUGUGAGGACCUAAAUGUUCAGAAAGAGAAGAAGCAUUUCCAACUGCCAGCUACCUUGCCGCCAGACUUCUUCCCCACUGGCUUACGAGGGUGCACUGUCAGCCCCAGCCCCCUGAGCCACAGCAUUCAGUAUCUAAAGCUGUAAUCUCUCCACUGCAGAGUGAGAAUGAAGAUACUGGCCACCCAGGUGGUUGUAAGGCUAAAACCACCACCUUUAAAGAUCGCUUGGCACAGUGCUGGCCACAGUGGGGCUCAUCACCACGUUUCUCACCUUCCCUUCCUCAGCCCUUGGAAAUGUGCAAGUAUAGUACAACCUACAAAGGCAAAUCCAUGUGGUAUAGUGCUCUGCACAGUGCAAUCCCUGUGUAAACAUUUCUAGACACAGAAAUGUCAGCUGGGGCAUUAUUUUGCUCAGGCUGACACUGAGGAAGACAUUUCCUGGAUUUUUUUCCUGUGCCCAUGGUGAGGUCCAAAGUGACCCAAAUACCACCUAAAUCCCUGGAUGCUAAACUCCUUGAGGGCAGAGACAGAGUUAUGAACCUCUGGGUCUCCCCAUAGGUCCAACCCAGCACUAGGUCUUCAGUGGCGUCUCUAAGAAUGUCAGUUGGUCAAUUUGUUAUUCAAUGGGCACAUGACAAGUUGCAGGAGUGCACAGGUGCUUUCAGGGUAUCAUCAUCUCAAACAGAAACAGCAUUGUUUCAAAGAGCCUGUAGGAGUCCAGAAGAAAUACAGGACUUUCUUCUUCCUUUUGCAAAAGCUGGCAGUUUAAAGCCACAGGGCAUUAGAUCAAGAAUGCCAUGAGGCUGACCAGUGAGGGGCUUGACUUUGAGGGCUCUGGGCUGGUUGGGCUGGCCAUGCUUACACUUGGAAAGCAGUAGGACCCAUUCCCUGGUUUUGAGCAUUCAAAGUAGCCUUGGCUUACUCUCUGCUCUGAGUUCUCACUUCAGUCUUCCUAUUCUGAGGUUCAAAGAACUGCAAAUAGUCCUCAGACAAAGCCUGUGGGGUGUCUCCCCAGAUUCCAGGAACUCUCCAAAUCAGAUAGACCAGGAUUAUGAAACUCAGCCUCUUCUAUGAAGGGUCCCACUGGAUCCCAUAAUAAGUGGGAAUUCUACCCUCAGCCCAGACUCUCCGGACUCCAGCCCAAUCUCAGUCUUAACCUCAGGGUUCCAGCUUUCCUCCGUCCAUUGCCACAUCAAACUCACCUGUUCUGGGUUUGCAUGUCAGGUACAUUUUCUGAUCAAUAUGCAUUUGCCUAUUCCUAUUCUGUGACUAAGGUAUUCCUUGGGUAUUGAUGGGUCUGCCUGCGUGUGUUCUCAAAUCUAAAGUCAUCAGCUACCCUUUGAACAUUGUAAGCAUGUUAUAUACAGGUUAUUUUUGCCUUUAGUUAUCUCAGUAACAUUAUAUUCCAUGUUAUAUGGCAUUUAAACUAUCUGGGUGGUCUUGUAUAUAAUACUUUACUUCCUUCAGAACCACAGGAAAAACUAAUUGCUAUUACUUCUGUGAGAGAUGGGGAUUCUCAAGGGACUUGCCCGUCAGUUUACAAAGUAGUGAUGGGGCUGGGCGUGGUGGCUAAUGCCUGUAAUCCCAGCACUUUGGGAGGCUGAGGCGGGCGGAUCGUUUGAGAUCAGGAGUUCCAGAUCAGACUGACCAGCAUGGGUAAACUCCAUCUCUACUAAAAAUACAAAAAUUAGCUGGGUGUGGUGGCGCAUGACUGUAAUCCCAGCUACUCAGGAGGCUGAGGCAUGAGAAUCACCUGAACCCGGAGGCAGAGGUUGCAGUGAGCUGAGAUUGCACCACUGUACUCCAGCCUGGGCAACAGAGGGAGACUCUGUCUCAAAAAAAAAAAAAAAAAAAAAAAGGAGCAAAGCCUCUGGCUCUUGUGUCAGCAGUCUCACCAGCCAGGGCUCUGUUUGUGUUCUGUAGUAGCCCCCACAGGGCUACAGGCGAAUAUAUUGCAGUUGCAGCCAGUAAGGAUGAUGCAACUGAGAAAGGCUGGCGGGCAGGUGGGUGCAGCCGGGGAUGGCCAGGGAUAGCCAGCCAGGCAGGGAACUCCUGAGCUGAGACUGCUGAAAGAUGGAUACUUCUGGGCCCCAGAAACAGCUCUUGGCUCCCAAAUACCCUCUCAGCUUCCUGAAAACCUCUAAAUAGCUAGGCGCAGUGGCUCAUGCCUGUAAUCCCAGCACUCUGGGAGGCUGAGGCAGGCGGAUCACUUGAGACCAGGAGUUCAAGACAAGCCUGGCCAACAUGGUGAAACCCCAUCUCUACUAAAAAUACAAAAAUUAGUUGGCCAUGGUGGCACGCACCUGUAAUCCCAGCUACUCGGGAGUCUGAGGCAGGAGAAUCACUUGAACCCAGGAGGCAGAAGUUGCAGUGAGCCGAGAUUGUGCCAUUGCACUCCAGCCUGGUCGUCAGAGUGAGACUCCGUCUCAAACAAAAAACAAGAAACAAAAAACAAGCCUCUAAAUAGGGAAUAAAUCUUUACAGUUCAAGUUGACAGACCUGGGUGCAAAUCCCAGCUGGGCUCCUCACUGGCUGUGUGAACUUGGGCAGGAUACCUAACCUCUCUGAAAUUUUGUUUAAUCAUAUGUUUUU